AACGGCUGCAUGUCGCCAUUGAGAAGACAAGACAGUACCGAGACACAGCCACCAGAGGGUGUCCACAUGCUGUGAAAAGCAGUUCAACUACUGAUCAUGUAUAUCCAAUCUAGCAGAGCUCCUGAUGCGGUUAGAGGCUGUCACACGUCUCUGGGCGGGGGAACUGAGUGGAGCGAGGAAACGGGGUGACGAAGAGGACACGACAUCUGGAGAACACGCAGAGGAAGAAGAAUGCAGCAGUGAGAGAUAGACAUUUCUGUGACUGCACUGCGUGAAUCAAUCCUCUCCGUCCAUGAAAUACAGCCAAGAUGGCGUCUGACAGGAGCUUGAUUGAGAAAAGUUCAUGAACUGUUCUGUCGCUGAGCGCCUGACACAGAGGGAUGACUGACAGAUCAAACACAAAGACACAUCUGAAAGACACAGCGGCAACGUCCUCAAACUGAAAUUCGCUGAGGCUGUAAGCUGUCCCCAAACAUCUGCUCCCUGGAGUGGAGCAGGAGAAGCAAAGCGAAGACCGGGAUUGGUGCACGUGUUACCGAACGUAGCUAUGUCACACUUGGUUAUGUAUGGAGUUGUAUGCGAGUUUGCAUGUGUGUGUCAGUAUACAAUUAUUCAAAUCAGCGCUUUGUAUUCUUUUGAGUGCUUUAUUUGUUGCACCUAGGAAGCAAAACACUUAUUUGUGUAAUUGUAUACACAUUGCGUCCACAUAUGCGUAGACACAGGUGCACUUCAGAUCUACAAAUUGUUUGGUAGUCAAAUUGGAGUAAAAGCCAUGAACGGAGAUCAAUAGUGCUUGAAAGUACUUGCAAAUUAUUAAAAGAAAGAAAAACAAAACUAGGACAAAGCAAAAUAAAAUAAAAUGACUAAAAUAACAAGAACAAAGCUAUGUAUUUAGAAAACCUACUGAGUCAGUCCCAUAAACAUGAGGUAUUACAUGAUUAUUAUGCCAUAAGUUCAUUUUUUGUAAACGUAUUAAUUACAAUAAACGCAGUAAGCAACAACUUCCUGUAAUAUAACUGACAUAUGUUUAGUCAUUUCUCAUGCCGCACAGUAUUUCUCAGGAGAACUGUUCCAGCUGCCCGUGUUGAAAGCAAGAAAAAAAAUAAAGUCAUAUGCUAAUAUGCAUAUUUAUAAGAGAGAUUUAUACAAACAACAAGCAAAUACACAUUUACAAAUAACAUGUGAGCUUUU